UACGGAGGGGGCUAGCGUUGUCCGGAAUCAUUGGGCGUAAAGAGCGUGUAGGCGGUCCGGUAAGUCCGCUGUGAAAGUCGGGGGCUCAACCCUCGAAUGCCGGUGGAUACUGUCGGGCUAGAGUGCGGAAGAGGCGAGUGGAAUUCCUGGUGUAGCGGUGAAAUGCGCAGAUAUCAGGAGGAACACCUAUUGCGAAGGCAGCUCGCUGGGACGUAACUGACGCUGAGACGCGAAAGCGUGGGGAGCAAACGGG
rnacentral:rRNA from 1 species